rnacentral:rRNA from 1 species
GACGAACGCUGGCGGCGUGCCUAAUACAUGCAAGUAGAACGCUGAAGCGAGGAGCUUGCUCUUCUUGGAUGAGUUGCGAACGGGUGAGUAACGCGUAGGUAACCUGCCUUGUAGCGGGGGAUAACUAUUGGAAACGAUAGCUAAUACCGCAUAACAAUGGAUGACACAUGUCAUUUAUUUGAAGGGGGCAAUUGCUCCACUACAAGAUGGACCUGCGUUGUAUUAGCUAGUAGGUGAGGUAAUGGCUCACCUAGGCGACGAUACAUAGCCGACCUGAGAGGGUGAUCGGCCACACUGGGACUGAGACACGGCCCAGACUCCUACGGGAGGCAGCAGUAGGGAAUCUUCGGCAAUGGGGGCAACCCUGACCGAGCAACGCCGCGUGAGUGAAGAAGGUUUUCGGAUCGUAAAGCUCUGUUGUAAGUCAAGAACGGGUGUGAGAGUGGAAAGUUCACACUGUGACGGUAGCUUACCAGAAAGGGACGGCUAACUACGUG